GCUAAUGGGGUCAAGCUGUGGUCAACUGAAGCUUCACCUCCUCGUCUCGCUACUACUCAGCUCUUGACGCAGUCUCCCAAGGCAGAUCUUCACAGACAGCUUUCCCAUCGUUACAGGCCCGCCUCGCUCCACCUAGGCUGCUUUUAAAACAGAUAACAGGUAAAUGGGUUGUUUUACCCCGAAGGCUUCUGUCACUGAAAUAUGGAUGUGUUUGAAGUGCUGGCCCCUACAGAGCCAACGCAGAGGUUACAUGUUAGGGUAUGAGCAGGAUCAGUCAUUCUGCUGGCGUUAUCACUAGUUCGUCAUGUCUGCUAAAGCUUGGUUAAAUUCCUCAGCCCAAGAUUACUAUCCUCAGGUCAUUGCUUGCUGCUGAGUUUCUCUCACUGCCUUUUAAAAAUGCCCUCUGUGCUGUGUGGACACAAACAAAUAUGCUAACAGUGGCUCUACGGUUGUUUGAUGCAUGGUUUUGGCUGGCUUUAUGGUUAUGAAUUUGGCAUGCUCUCAUAGGUGCAAGAGAAACAGUGGAAUUACUCUGCUGCCCGCCCACCACGAGGCAUAUUUGUCUCUACAUGUAGAUUUUCUGAAGUAGUUGUGUCUGUUAUCUGAAGUUCCACAUUGAGAGAAAGAGACUUUCCUUUCUGCCUCAUUCGAACAGGAGAACUGCCAAAGCUCCAUCCAUCAGAUAACCUUUCUUCUUUUUGUUUUUUGUUUUGAGUCAGGCACAUAAGAGGAACAUUUUGCUCGGAGCAUUUCUAUGAAGUUGCCAGGCAGAGGUUUUUCAAGGCUGGCCCAGGGGAGCAGAUUAUGACUAAUGAGGUCCAAGUUAACGUGACCAAAGGAGGCAGCUGGCGAGGAACAGGCCCCAGUUUAAACCUUUAUCGUGAGAUCUCUCCGUUGGCCAGACUGAGGGACAAACCCACAGGAAGUGCAUCACAGCCGACGCCAGUCACGUCCGCCAAAAAUGAGCCACAGUGACUUAUAAGGAAAUCUGAGCGAAGACGAGACAUUUGGAUAUGUCAUCUGCUCUUCCACCAUCUAAGCCGCAUUCUCGUUUAGUUCCACUCCAUCCAGCUGUUUGUGUCUCUCACGUCAUUGCCUCAUCCUCUAAACCUGACCACUUUGACAUCAAAGCAAAGAUGUGUUGUUCCCUCUCCACGCUGAGGAGAAUGUCAUGGGAGAAUGACCCUAAGAGAGGCUAGUCCAGCCCCAGGACGACGUGGAGCCACCUGAGAAGAGCAGGUAGCUCUUUCAUAGCCAUCAAUCUUGGCCAGGAGCUGAUGGGAGGUUGCUCCCUCUGAGGACGGGCUUGCUCAGACUGAGACUGUCUCCGUGCCUUGACAGAGCGCUGGCAUAGCAUGUCAGACAUCCACACUGCGCUGCAAGUCCACGACAGAUCCUCAAAGGUGACCUGUCCUGCUGCUCAGACAGAUGUCCUUGUCAUCCCCAUCACCGCUGGCAUCUCAAAGUGGCGCUUGCCUCGCACACUGUUGCCCUGCAGACCACAAAAGGGGGUUCACGUUACCCAGAAGGGCAGGUAACAUCAGAUGGAUAAUCCUUGGACCUGGUAAACCGGUCUUUUAACAGGACCUACUGUCUUAACCUGGCAACCCUGAGCCAUGUGUCAUUGUGUGUUGAUUGGGUGUGCAUGUGUGACUCCCUUGGGCAAGUCAUUGUCCGGUUAUGUUCAGUAUUUCCACCUCCGUCUGUCAGCUCAUCUGCUCUCAAGAGAGGGAAAACAAAAAAUUAUAGAAGUUCUCUUUUAAAUGAUUUUCUUGUCCAAACAUCUGCAGGCUUUACAGGGAUUGUGAAUCUUUUUAUUGUUUCUAGAGGAGAUUUUUGGCCUGAACACGUUGUCUGUGCAGUCUUCAUACUUCAUUUUCUUCACACAUGGCAUCAGUAGAUAUCCCUUAGAAAUACUACAGGAAUUAAACAUCAGAUGUCUCCUCAGAUGCUUGUAAACAGACAGUUAACAAACCCAGCAGCCCUGGCAGUUCAUGGUGCCACUCCCCCAGCUGUUUUGACCUCAGCUGAACUCACAUGUCAUCUCAGCCACCAGGCCUGGCAGGAUUCUCUCACAGAGACUGAAACUAUCUUUCUUUACGCCACUCCUCGAGCCGUUGCCACCCUCUUGUCGCCCCACUGAUCCAUGCCAGCUUCCAGCUUUUGUUUUUCUACCCGCCUCCCCCGGUACUGGGGGCAAGAUUUACAGUGGAAAAAUAUAGUAUAUUUUUUCCCCCCAUGUUGAGCUGGGGAGUCUGGAAUGUGUGUUUGGGCAAGAUUUUGCGAGGAGUGUGAAAAAACAACAGAGCUGUAAACACCAAGGGUAGACCCAGACUGGCUUCUUUGUUCCAGAUGUGGAGCAGGCACACACUAUUAGUGCAGCUCCAGCCAAAGCACUGGGCUGUAACCCAAUACACUGCCACUACUGUCCCACUGCCUGUCCAUCAGAUGAUCUCUCAGCAUCUGUGUGGACAGGUUACUGUAUGAAUCUGCAGUAUUUUGAAUGAGAGCAAACUGUGUGUGUGUGUGUGUGUGUGUGUGUGUGUGUGUGUGUGUGUGUGUGUGUGUGUGUGUGUGUGCCAGCGCCCACAGUCAGAAUUGGUACCAAAUGCGCAUUUGAGCCGCAACCAGACGACUGAGGAAGGUUAGUGAGAGAGAGAGAGAGAGAGAGAGAGAGAGAGAGAGAGAGAGAGAGAAAAUCAACAAUGUAUAAUUUAGACAUAUGACUGCCGUUCUCUACAAAUGAAGCCGUUUAAAUCAGAUGCCCCGCGUGACACCGAGCUCAGGUUGCACCAGAAUGGCUUAUGCGCGUAUUACGGUUAAAGGAUUCCAGACGGGUUUUUUUCCCCCCUGAGUUGCCAAGGCCUCUAUAUGCAACCAAUCAAUUAAAAGUUUAAGUCUAACAGUCAGCGGCAGUGGGCGAUGUUGCUGUCAUCCGCUGUCUGCUAACAAUUAUGCCAAUGAUGAAUCCAACGCUCGAGCUAAAAGACCAGACACACUCCGGCAUUUCCCACGCGCACUAUUCACUCUGUCACUUUUUUUUCGAUCUUAUUGUCUCCUCUCUUUUUUUUUAAAUUCCGCCAAAAUGGUGACAAAUACCUGAUUAAUUUGGCUGAUUUCAUUUCCCUUUUAAAUCCAAAACAGUCGGACUCUUCUAAUUGGCCAAUAAAAACCGCGCUUUGAAGGCUUUCCAUAACAAUGCAGGUAGACGGGGAGUGAAAGGUCAUGCAUAAUGAAUUAUUUUUUUUAUAUAAUAUAUAAUAAUAUAUUAUAUAUAACAAUAUAUAAUAAUAAAAAAUGGUAAAUGUACCAAAAAUGCAAUAACUUUUAAGUGUAAUGUAAAAAAAAAUAUUUAUUCUUGACAUUUUCAUUAUUUGGAGACAUAUUGCUACAGAUAAAAAUUAUUUAUUUUUCAGAAUUUAAAUGAUUUGUUCAAAAUUGUUUUAAUGAAGUUUUGAUCUUCCUUUUAGUUCCAACACUGCUGGAAAUUAAGAAUGGACACACACGUAUUGUAUUCAAACUGUAUUUCAUUUUGAAUUAUCAUAUAGGUUUUAAAAAAAAGAUGAAUAUAGAAAAAUAAUUUAAAGGAGUUCAAGCUAACAGCAAAUAUAAGGUUUUCAACAAAAACUUUAUAUUUUCAUAAACAAGGAGUUCUUUAGUAUUAAUGUUUUAAUUACUGUUUAAUAUUUAUUUACAAAAAAAUGGAAAAUUUUUAUAACUCAUAGCUCAAAUACAUUCAUUUUAAUAAAAAGAAAAUAAUUAAAGGUUGACACACUUUUGGAAAUUGGGAAAUCUUUAUUGAAUUUAAAUCUUUAUUAAAAUUAGAAAUAAAAAUAGAAACAAGGAAUUGUAUUCCCACUUACGUAGUCCUCAACCCAAAUCAAUCAAAUUUUUCAACUAAUAUAAUUUACUGCACAGGCCUAUAUUUCAUACAGCAGAAACAGAAACUACAAGUGGAAUAGAGAUUACCCAAAGUAAAUUAUAUAAUAAGAAAUAAUGCAAUAAACAGGUUUUCU